AAACAUUUUAGAACGUUGCAGCAGUCUGAUGGUGUCGCCUGCGACUCGGCUUGUCAAGUCGCCAUUGGCUGGUUUUAGAACGUAAGGCACGUCACCUGUUUGAACAGCCAAUUAGCUCGUAGCGAAGUCAGCUGGUCAAGUCAGUUACAAACUGUCAGCUGUGUUAUCAUCAUCCGUUCCCCUGGUGACAUGCUGCCUCGAUAGUUAAUGUUUGGCUGAUUAGAGGUGACACCAACUCCCCUGAACAAUGGAACUGCUGACUAGACGGGAGAAAUGGACAAAAGAGGGGAGAUCUCUUGUCUGUUAUGUUAUGUGGGGCGACCUCUAGCUCAGCCGGUAGAGCGUGCGCCCCAUGUAGGCUGAGUCCUUGGCAGCGGCCGGCGUUUGAAUCCAAUCGGUGGCCUAUUUGCUGCAUGUCAUCACUUCUAUCUCCCCCCAUUUCAUGACAUUCUUCAGAUGCUCUAUGAAAUAAAAAAAAUGCUAAUGGACUACUCCAAAUUCUGACCCUUUGUUUGUUUUUGUUUUUGCCAAUUCAUCACUACUGGAAAUUAUUAACUAUCCUCAUUCAUAUGCUACAAAUUAUAUCCAGCUAC